AUGCAAGAUUACCACCAGGUGUAACUGUUAUGUCACCUUUUGCCGAUGAUUCUUCGCUUAACAAAAUUGGAGUGGAGAGCUUCCCGGAGGAGCUAUUUUCAGUGCUUC